UACGUAGGGCGCAAGCGUUAUCCGGAAUUAUUGGGCGUAAAGAGCUCGUAGGCGGUUUGUCGCGUCUGCCGUGAAAGUCCGGGGCUUAACUCCGGAUCUGCGGUGGGUACGGGCAGACUAGAGUGCAGUAGGGGAGACUGGAAUUCUUGGUGUAGCGGUGAAAUGCGCAGAUAUCAGGAGGAACACCGAUGGCGAAGGCAGGUCUCUGGGCUGUAACUGACGCUGAGGAGCGAAAGCAUGGGGAGCGAACAGG
rnacentral:rRNA from 1 species